AAACAAUAGCUAGAAGGGAGAAGGAAUACUAACAGGAUCUUAGCCUCGGCUGGUGUUUCCUUCAGUCAUGGCAAGUUCAUGUGCAACAUUUGGAAAGCACCAUGAAGCGUCCGCACAUGGACCAUUGAGCAAUAAUAUGCCGCCUUUGCACAAUAACACUGAGCACUACACAAGUGCAAGGAUAGUUGGAGCCUGGUUCUUCAGGCCCCUAUUGUUCAGGACUCAGGUGGUGGAAAAAAAUAAGGUAAUUUAUUACUUCUCAUUGCUUUCUUUUUCCUGAAGGGACACUUUACUCCUACACAUAGUAUAAGGUACCUACUGCUUCUGCCUGUCCAAAAGAGAAGUUAAAGCUUACCACAUGGUGCUAUACAGGAAUUAAAUCCUUUGUGCAGCUGAUGAGAUCAACUGCAGUUGAACAGGACUUGCAGCAUGAUGCAUGACAUGAAUCAUUAGCUCUGGAGUAGAACCACCUAUAGAUCUUCCAUUGCAUGUUAAUAAGUCCUUUGGAGUCAGUAAAGUAGUCUGACUACUACCACAGUUUCCUUUCGAUGACCCACAUUCAUGGCAGGGUAGCAUUGGUGUCUCUGCCCAUUGACUUCAGUAAUGCUACUUUCCUGAGUAAUUAGUAUCCAAACAGAAUAAAAUCUGCAGAAUGUGGUCA
rnacentral:lncRNA from 1 species